UACGUAGGGGGCAAGCGUUGUCCGGAUUUAUUGGGCGUAAAGAGCGUGUAGGCGGCCUGAAAGGUCAGCUGUGAAAACUCGAGGCUCAACCUCGAGACGUCGGUUGAAACCAUCUGGCUAGAGUCCGGAAGAGGAGUGUGGAAUUCCCGGUGUAGCGGUGAAAUGCGCAGAUAUCAGGAGGAACACCGAUGGCGAAGGCAGGUCUCUGGGCAUUAACUGACGCUGAGGAGCGAAAGCAUGGGGAGCGAACAGG
rnacentral:rRNA from 1 species